rnacentral:rRNA from 1 species
GACGAACGCUGGCGGCGUGCUUAACACAUGCAAGUCGAACGAAGUGGCGAACGGGUGAGUAACGCGUAAUCAACCUGCCCUUCAGAGGGGGACAAAAGUUGGAAACAACUGCUAAUACCGCAUACGGAAGGAGGGGAUUGCGUCUGAUGAGUUAGUUGGAGGGGUAACGGCCCACCAAGGCGAUGAACAGUAGCCGGUCUUAGAGGAUGAACGGCCACAUUGGGACUGAUACACGGCCCAGACUCCUACGGGAGGCAGCAGUGGGGAAUCUGCCGCAAUGGACGAAAGUCUGACGAAGCAACGCCGCGUGAGAGAUGACGGCCUUCGGGUUGUAAAGCUCUGUUAAUCGGGACGCGGUACCGGAAUAGAAAGUCACGGCUAACUACGUGCCAGCAGCCGCGGUAAUUC